GAACAGUGAAAUGCUCCUGCGAACAGGAGUUGCCCCGGGUGACAUGGCGGACGGGUGAGUAAUGUCUGGGAAACUGCCCGGUGGAGGGGGAUAACUACUGGAAACGGUAGCUAAUACCGCAUAACGUCUUCGGACCAAAGUGGGGGACUUGGCCUCACGCCACCGGAUGUGCCCAGAUGGGAUUAGCUAGUAGGUGGGGUAACGGCUCACCUAGGCGACGAUCCCUAGCUGGUCUGAGAGGAUGACCAGCCACACUGGAACUGAGACACGGUCCAGACUCCUACGGGAGGCAGCAGUGGGGAAUAUUGCACAAUGGGCGCAAGCCUGAUGCAGCCAUGCCGCGUGUAUGAAAAGGCCUUCGGGUUGUAAAGUACUUUCAGCGGGGAGGAAGGCGGUGAGGUUAAUAACCUCGCCGAUUGACGUUACCCGCAAAGAAGCACCGGUAACUCCGUGCCAGCAGCCGCGGUAAUACGGAGGGUGCAAGCGUUAAUCGGAAUUACUGGGCGUAAAGCGCACGCAGGCGGUCUGUUAAGUCAGAUGUGAAAUCCCCGGGCUUACCUGGGAACUGCAUUUGAAACUGGCAGGCUUGAGUCUCGUAGAGGGGGGUAGAAUUCCAGGUGUAGCGGUGAAAUGCGUAGAGAUCUGGAGGAAUACCGGUGGCGAAGCGGCCCCCUGGACAAGACUGACGCUCAGGUGCGAAAGCGUGGGGAGCAAACAGGAUUAA
rnacentral:rRNA from 1 species